GUGAGGAAUAUUGGACAAUGGGCGGGAGCCUGAUCCAGCCAUGCCGCGUGCAGGAAGACGGUCCUAUGGAUUGUAAACUGCUUUUGUACGGGAAGAACAAGGGGCACGUGUGCCCCUCUGACGGUACCGUAAGAAUAAGGAUCGGCUAACUCCGUGCCAGCAGCCGCGGUAAUACGGAGGAUCCGAGCGUUAUCCGGAAUCAUUGGGUUUAAAGGGUCCGUAGGCGGGCCAUUAAGUCAGGGGUGAAAGUCUGCGGCUCAACCGUAGAAUUGCCCUUGAUACUGGUGGUCUUGAGUUAUGGUGAAGUAACUAGAAUAUGUAGUGUAGCGGUGAAAUGCAUAGAUAUUACAUAGAAUACCGAUUGCGAAGGCAGGUUACUAACCAUAUACUGACGCUGAUGGACGAAAGCGUGGGGAGCGAACAGGAUUAGAUACCCUAGUAGUCC
rnacentral:rRNA from 1 species